GAUGAACGCUGGCGGCGUGCCUAAUACAUGCAAGUCGAGCGAACAGACGAGGAGCUUGCUCCUCUGACGUUAGCGGCGGACGGGUGAGUAACACGUGGAUAACCUACCUAUAAGACUGGGAUAACUUCGGGAAACCGGAGCUAAUACCGGAUAAUAUAUUGAACCGCAUGGUUCAAUAGUGAAAGACGGUUUUGCUGUCACUUAUAGAUGGAUCCGCGCCGCAUUAGCUAGUUGGUAAGGUAACGGCUUACCAAGGCGACGAUGCGUAGCCGACCUGAGAGGGUGAUCGGCCACACUGGAACUGAGACACGGUCCAGACUCCUACGGGAGGCGGCAGUAGGGAAUCUUCCGCAAUGGGCGAAAGCCUGACGGAGCAACGCCGCGUGAGUGAUGAAGGUCUUCGGAUCGUAAAACUCUGUUAUUAGGGAAGAACAAAUGUGUAAGUAACUAUGCACGUCUUGACGGUACCUAAUCAGAAAGCCACGGCUAACUACGUG
rnacentral:rRNA from 1 species